GUAGGUGAACCUGCGGAAGGAUCAUUGUCGAUACCUGCCCAACAGAGAGACCCGCGAACAUGUUGCAUAAGGUUUGGUCCGCGAGCAUUCGUGGCAUCCGACCAAAAACAAAACACCGGCGUGUUGAUGCGCCAAGGAACUCACAACGGAAUGGGCAAGUGCCAUCACUGUGCCUUUGGCGCGGUGUGUGUGCUGUCUGUCUUGAAUCCGAAAAUUAUUAACGACUCUCGGCAACGGAUAUCUCGGCUCUCGCAUCGAUGAAGAACGUAGCGAAAUGCGAUACUUGGUGUGAAUUGCAGAAUCCCGUGAACCAUCGAGUCUUUGAACGCAAGUUGCGCCCUAGGCCAUCAGGUUGAGGGCACGCCUGCCUGGGCGUCACGUAUCGUGCCGCCCACACUCUAUUGCCCUUGUGGCGAAGGAGUGUGGAUCGGAGAUUGGUCCCCCGUGUUGUUUUCGAGUGCGGUCGGCCUAAAGACAGCCGAGUCCCCCUGUGUGGCGAGCGUCACGAUGAGUGGUGGUUGUAGCCACUUUUCCAUUGGUUCGGACGUCGUGUGCGAUUAUUGCUCUCAUCGGGGCUCUGGCAAUAGUAACCCUGGUAUUUGUGGUCCUUGUGACUGCGUUUUCGACUGCGACCCCAGGUCAGGCGGGGCUACCCGCUGAG
rnacentral:rRNA from 1 species